GCUCCUGUAGCUCAACUGGAUAGAGCAGGUCCGUCCUAAGGACAAGGUUGUAGGUUCAACUCCUACCAGGAGCA
rnacentral:tRNA from 1 species